rnacentral:SRP_RNA from 1 species
ACUGGGAGCAGUGGCGCAUGUCUGUAGUCCCAGCUACUUGGGAGGCGGAGGCUGAGGUUGGAGGAUCGCUUGAGCCCAGGAGUUCUGGGCUGUAGUGCCUUAUGCCCAAGCGGGUGUCCGUACUAAGUUCGGCAACAAUAUGGUGACCUCCCGGGACCACCAGGUUGCCUAAGGAGGGGCGAAGCCAGCCCAGGUCAGAAACGGAGCAGGUCGAAACUCCCGUGCUGAUCAGUAGUGGGAUCGCGCCUGCGAAUAGCCACUGCACUCCAGCCUGGGAAACAUGGCGAGAUCCCGUCUCU